CGCUGGUUUUCCUGCGGCGAUUAUCUGUUAACCCCGUCAGACCCGGAAGGGAGCAGCGGUAGCGGUAAAAUCGGGUGCCGGGAGUAAGCUAGCGCGG
rnacentral:SRP_RNA from 1 species